UGGGGAAUUUUGGACAAUGGGCGAAAGCCUGAUCCAGUAAUGCCGCGUGUGUGAAGAAGGCCUUCGGGUUGUAAAGCACUUUUGUCCGGAAAGAAAUCCUUGGCUCUAAUACAGUCGGGGGAUGACGGUACCGGAAGAAUAAGCACCGGCUAACUACGUGCCAGCAGCCGCGGUAAUACGUAGGGUGCAAGCGUUAAUCGGAAUUACUGGGCGUAAAGCGUGCGCAGGCGGUUUGCUAAGACCGAUGUGAAAUCCCCGGGCUCAACCUGGGAACUGCAUUGGUGACUGGCAGGCUAGAGUAUGGCAGAGGGGGGUAGAAUUCCACGUGUAGCAGUGAAAUGCGUAGAGAUGUGGAGGAAUACCGAUGGCGAAGGCAGCCCCCUGGGCCAAUACUGACGCUCAUGCACGAAAGCGUGGGGAGCAAACAGGAUUAGAUACCCUGGUAGUCCACGCCCUAAACGAUGUCAACUAGUUGUUGGGGAUUCAUUUCCUUAGUAACGUAGCUAACGCGUGAAGUUGACCGCCUGGGGAGUACGGUCGCAAGAUUAAAACUCAAAUGAAUUGACGGGGUCAUAGCUGUUUCCU
rnacentral:rRNA from 1 species